AUUGAACGCUGGCGGCAGGCUUAACACAUGCAAGUCGAACGAUGAUUUCCCAGCUUGCUGGGAAUGAUUAGUGGCGGACGGGUGAGUAACAUUUAGGAAUCUGCCUAGUAGUGGGGGAUAGCUCGGGGAAACUCGAAUUAAUACCGCAUACGACCUACGGGUGAAAGGGGGCGCAAGCUCUUGCUAUUAGAUGAGCCUAAAUCAGAUUAGCUAGUUGGUGGGGUAAAGGCCCACCAAGGCGACGAUCUGUAACUGGUCUGAGAGGAUGAUCAGUCACACCGGAACUGAGACACGGUCCGGACUCCUACGGGAGGCAGCAGUGGGGAAUAUUGGACAAUGGGGGCAACCCUGAUCCAGCCAUGCCGCGUGUGUGAAGAAGGCCUUUUGGUUGUAAAGCACUUUAAGCAGGGAGGAGAGGCUAAUGGUUAAUACCCAUUAGAUUAGACGUUACCUGCAGAAUAAGCACCGGCUAACUCUGUGCCAGCAGCCGCGGUAAUACAGAGGGUGCGAGCGUUAAUCGGAAUUACUGGGCGUAAAGCGAGUGUAGGUGGCUCAUUAAGUCACAUGUGAAAUCCCCGGGCUUAACCUGGGAACUGCAUGUGAUACUGGUGGUGCUAGAAUAUGUGAGAGGGAAGUAGAAUUCCAGGUGUAGCGGUGAAAUGCGUAGAGAUCUGGAGGAAUACCGAUGGCGAAGGCAGCUUCCUGGCAUAAUAUUGACACUGAGAUUCGAAAGCGUGGGUAGCAAACAGGAUUAGAUACCCUGGUAGUCCACGCCGUAAACGAUGUCUACUAGCCGUUGGGGUCCUUGAGACUUUAGUGGCGCAGUUAACGCGAUAAGUAGACCGCCUGGGGAGUACGGCCGCAAGGUCAAAACUCAAAUGAAUUGACGGGGGCCCGCACAAGCGGUGGAGCAUGUGGUUUAAUUCGAUGCAACGCGAAGAACCUUACCUGGUCUUGACAUAGUGAGAAUCUCUCAGAGAUGAGAGAGUGCCUUCGGGAACUCACAUACAGGUGCUGCAUGGCUGUCGUCAGCUCGUGUCGUGAGAUGUUGGGUUAAGUCCCGCAACGAGCGCAACCCUUUUCCUUAUUUGCCAGCGGGUUAAGCCGGGAACUUUAAGGAUACUGCCAGUGACAAACUGGAGGAAGGCGGGGACGACGUCAAGUCAUCAUGGCCCUUACGACCAGGGCUACACACGUGCUACAAUGGUAGGUACAGAGGGUUGCUACACAGCGAUGUGAUGCUAAUCUCAAAAAGCCUAUCGUAGUCCGGAUUGGAGUCUGCAACUCGACUCCAUGAAGUCGGAAUCGCUAGUAAUCGCGGAUCAGAAUGCCGCGGUGAAUACGUUCCCGGGCCU
rnacentral:rRNA from 1 species